GUGCCUACGGGAGGCAGCAGUGGGGAAUAUUGCACAAUGGGGGAAACCCUGAUGCAGCAACGCCGCGUGAGUGAAGAAGUAUUUCGGUAUGUAAAGCUCUAUCAGCAGGGAAGAAGAUGACGGUACCUGAGUAAGAAGCCCCGGCUAACUACGUGCCAGCAGCCGCGGUAAUACGUAGGGGGCAAGCGUUAUCCGGAAUUACUGGGUGUAAAGGGAGCGUAGACGGCAAUGCAAGUCCGGAGUGGAAUGCGGCAGCUCAACUGCCGAACUGCUCUGGAAACUGUAUUGCUUGAG
rnacentral:rRNA from 1 species